UACGAAGGGGGCUAGCGUUGUUCGGAAUUACUGGGCGUAAAGCGUGCGCAGGCGGCUUCUCAAGUCAGGGGUGAAAGCCCAGAGCUCAACUCUGGAACUGCCUUUGAGACUGAGAGGCUUGAGUACGGGAGAGGUGAGUGGAAUUCCCAGUGUAGAGGUGAAAUUCGUAGAUAUUGGGAAGAACACCGGCGGCGAAGGCGGCUCACUGGCCCGAAACUGACGCUCAUGCACGACAGCGUGGGGAUCAAACAGG
rnacentral:rRNA from 1 species